UACGAAGGGGCUAGCGUUGUUCGGAUUUACUGGGCGUAAAGCGCACGUAGGCGGAUUGGUCAGUUAGGGGUGAAAUCCUGGAGCUCAACUCCAGAACUGCCUUUAAUACUGCCAGUCUCGAGUCCGGAAGAGGUAAGUGGAACUCCUAGUGUAGAGGUGGAAUUCGUAGAUAUUAGGAAGAACACCAGUGGCGAAGGCGGCUUACUGGUCCGGUACUGACGCUGAGGUGCGAAAGCGUGGGGAGCAAACAGG
rnacentral:rRNA from 1 species